rnacentral:rRNA from 1 species
ACUCCUACGGGAGGCAGCAGUGGGGAAUUUUGGACAAUGGGCGAAAGCCUGAUCCAGCAAUGCCGCGUGAGUGAAGAAGGCCUUCGGGUUGUAAAGCUCUUUUGUCAGGGAAGAAACGGUGAAAGCUAAUAUCUUUUGCUAAUGACGGUACCUGAAGAAUAAGCACCGGCUAACUACGUGCCAGCAGCCGCGGUAAUACGUAGGGUGCAAGCGUUAAUCGGAAUUACUGGGCGUAAAGCGUGCGCAGGCGGUUUUGUAAGUCUGAUGUGAAAUCCCCGGGCUCAACCUGGGAAUUGCAUUGGAGACUGCAAGGCUAGAAUCUGGCAGAGGGGGGUAGAAUUCCACGUGUAGCAGUGAAAUGCGUAGAUAUGUGGAGGAACACCGAUGGCGAAGGCAGCCCCCUGGGUCAAGAUUGACGCUCAUGCACGAAAGCGUGGGGAGCAAACAGGAUUAGAAACCCGUGUAGUCCCAUGA